AGGGAAACCAAUCCAGUAGCAGAAACAGAUCUGAUACAGAUGACAGAAACUACAUAUAUACAUGGCAGUCAUAGAUAACAUACUUCAAACUAUGGACAUGUUAUAGAUGCAUAUAUUAUUAUUAACACAUGGAUGGAAUCACAGUGCCAAUCACCAACUUUACAUUGUGUUGUGAACAUUUUCAUUAACCUGAUGAAUUUCUUAAACUUUUUCAUAUGAUUUUUUCAAUAAACCAGUUUUCAUUUUCUUAAUUGUACAUGAUGAUGUCAGUGUCAUUUCAUAAUUAUUUUACAAAGCUGGAUCAACAAGAUGUAACAUUUAGUUGCAAUGCAUGAGGGAAAACUUUAAAAAAAAAAAAAAAGAAUAAUAAUCAACAAGAACAUCGAGUCACAUAUUGUAGAAAUUGCACUUAUUUUAAGCUGAAUAGAAUCGGCAAUCCCUAUGAGUUUAUAAAAGUCACGACCGGUACCACUAAAAUACGGAACCAAGCUUUUUUGGCAAAACGGAGUGCAAAAUAAAAAAAAUGUGGCAAAAACUACGAUGAGCAAUGCAUUCUUAUCUUAUUAGAAUAACAUUAGGUAUUUUCAAUAUUUUCUACAUUAAAAGCAUUGUAUUGUUGUAAUAUCGCUAAUAUCACUGUUGCUCAAAAAUUCAUCAGUGCAACAUGGAUUUAUUAUUUUCAAAACUAGCAAACAAAGUACAUUUUAUUGAAUUUGCAAUAGUAUAUUCUAAACAAAGUCAUAUUAUGUUGAAAUUACAGAAGUCUUAUGUUGAAAUUAAAGAAUCAACUUUAAGCAAUUUUUUUAUUAUAAACAUUCAUUAUAUUGUUGUUAUAUACUUUCAUAAACUCUGUUGCGCCGAUGGAUUAUUGUGAAACGGGUAUUUUAUUUUCAAAACCAUGUACUGUUUUUUAUCUCUAAAACAUAAAAUAAUUAUAAAAGUU